rnacentral:tRNA from 2 species
CGCGGGGUAGAGCAGUUGGUAGCUCGUCGGGCUCAUAACCCGAAGGUCGGAGGUUCAAGUCCUCCCCCCGCAACCA